rnacentral:sRNA from 1 species
GAGGAAAAGAGAGAAAUACUGAUAGAGAAAGUCAGCGAAAAGAGAGAAAUACUGGUUAAAAGUCAGAAAAAAAGAGAAAUACAUAUAGAAAGUCAGAGAAAAUGAGACAAAGCUAACAACUAAAGUAACAAGUAAUGUUAUAUUUAACUUUACCAGCACACCUCUAACAGUCAAGUGCAAUGGGUAUAUCUAUUGUCCGCAUAAAGAGAAAUCAACAUGGCUUCCCAUUCAUGGCUCUGUAGCAACAUCAGAAGUCUCUCCAAAAGCAAUGGUAUAUUGAAUAGAAAUCGAAGGCCACAGUCGUCAAAACGUUACUUUGCUACGCGAGUGAAUUACAGACAUGGUAUACAGUGGAGGGUAGUUGGUAUCAAGAAAUCCAACAGAGGUAUAGCAACAAUUUGUGUCCUCUGUUUAUAUCUCAUCAAUCAAAUUGAAUCAGA